rnacentral:rRNA from 1 species
GACGAACGCUGGCGGCGUGCUUAACACAUGCAAGUCGAACGAGACGAUUGAAAGCUUGCUUUCGAAAGUCGAGUGGCAAACGGGUGAGUAACGCGUAGACAACCUGCCUUUGAGAUGGGGACAACAGUUCGAAAGGACUGCUAAUACCGAAUGUUGUAUAUUUUCCACAUGGAAGAUAUAUUAAAGAUGGCCUCUAUUUAUAAGCUAUCGCUCAAAGAUGGGUCUGCGUCUGAUUAGCUGGUUGGUGGGGUAACGGCCUACCAAGGCGACGAUCAGUAGACGGUCGGAGAGGAUGAACGGCCACAUUGGGACUGAGACACGGCCUAGACUCCUACGGGAGGCAGCAGUGGGGAAUCUUCCACAAUGGACGAAAGUCUGAUGGAGCAACGCCGCGUGAGUGAAGAAGGGUUUCGGCUCGUAAAGCUCUGUUGUCGGGGACGAAUGUGCAGUAUUUGAAUAAAGUACUGCAAUGACGGUACCUGACGAGGAAGCCACGGCUAACUACGUGCCAGCCGCCGCCGUAA